rnacentral:rRNA from 1 species
UCGGGUUGUCAUGCCAAUGGCACUGCCCGGUAGCUAAAUGCGGAAGAGAUAAGUGCUGAAAGCAUCUAAGCACGAAACUUGCCCCGAGAUGAGUUCUCCCUGACUCCUUGAGAGUCCUGAAGGAACGUUGAAGACGACGACGUUGAUAGGCCGGGUGUGUAAGCGCAGCGAUGCGUUGAGCUAACCGGUACUAAUGAACCGUGAGGCUUAACCUUACAACGCCGAAG